AAUAAUUAAACUUAUGCCAUUUUCACAUUUCAGGUAAUGAGAGGCCCUGAGAUCCCAGAGGGACCAUAUGAGAAUUCUGGACAGUGCUGAAGACUCUUACUUCCUGCAGACACAAGAGGAGACAGGACCAGAGGGUACGCCACCAAGGAAGGCCACCCAGCUGUGUGUGUCAGACCCAUUGCUCAAGGGAGACAGGUUGAAAGAGGCAGUAGGGAAGACAGGACAGUAAAGAGAGGAAAAGGAACCAAGGAAAUGAGGACGAGGAUGACCCGGCAGAUCGGGCAGGGGGCCAGGAGGAACUCCCGAGUGCCUUCUCAUCUUAGCCUCGGUGACAGUGUGGCGUGCCCCCUGACCUCUCCUCCUUUCUCCUCUGGACUAAGCGAUGACAUGAAGGGACGUGGCAAUAAGGAAAUUAUCCUCGCCUGAACAUGAAAAAGCCAAGUGUGGUGGAUGAGCCAGCUCACUGAGCCACAGAACAUGAGAUGGUGCCAGAAUGGCAAUAGUAACUCUCUCCAUGUAUCAUAGUAAGUUCUUGGGAGUAAGGAAAUCGGUGGAAAAUCUGUUGCUGGGUCUCAAACAGAUUCAUU
rnacentral:lncRNA from 1 species